rnacentral:rRNA from 1 species
CACGUAGGAGGCGAGCGUUGUCCGGAAUCAUUGGGCGUAAAGAGCGCGCAGGCGGCUUGGCAAGUCGGGUGUGAAAUCCCGGGGCUCAACCCCGUGACUGCAUCCGAUACUGUCAGGCUAGAGGUAGGUAGGGGAGAUCGGAAUUCCUGGUGUAGCGGUGAAAUGCGUAGAUAUUGAGAAGAACACCAGAGGCGAAGGCGGGUUGCUGGGCCGACACUGACGCUGAGGCGCGAAAGCCAGGGGAGCAAACGGG